rnacentral:rRNA from 1 species
GAUGAACGCUGGCGGCGUGCCUAAUACAUGCAAGUCGAGCGAACAGACGAGGAGCUCGCUCCUCUGACGUUAGCGGCGGACGGGUGAGUAACACGUGGAUAACCUACCUAUAAGACUGGGAUAACUUCGGGAAACCGGAGCUAAUACCGGAUAAUAUAUUGAACCGCAUGGUUCAAUAGUGAAAGACGGUUUUGCUGUCACUUAUAGAUGGAUCCGCGCCGCAUUAGCUAGUUGGUAAGGUAACGGCUUACCAAGGCAACGACGCGUAGCCGACCUGAGAGGGUGAUCGGCCACACUGGAACUGAGACACGGUCCAGACUCCUACGGGAGGCAGCAGUAGGGAAUCUUCCGCAAUGGGCGAAAGCCUGACGGAGCAACGCCGCGUGAGUGAUGAAGGUCUUCGGAUCGUAAAACUCUGUUAUUAGGGAAGAACAAAUGUGUAAGUAACUAUGCACGUCUUGACGGUACCUAAUCAGAAAGCCACGGCUAACUACGUG